UUGAGACGUUGACUACGCUUGUUUACCAUUUGUGCUCAUUCGCACAUGCUUGUGAGGGUCGCUCCCUACAAGCCGGCACUCCGGAGUUGGCCUACGUGACUUAUGCUCGCUCGUGCGGUAUCGAGAAACCUACGGGGUCGAGAUAGAUAGACUCAUUCCUAGAGUGGGAAUGCUGGAGCUACCACCGACACUUAGGUGGCACAAGCUGGACUAUAUUUAUGUAGGUCCUAGAACAUUAUUAAACAAUGACAUUGAACCGGAAAAUGACAAUCACUACUAGAUAGGAUUAGUAGUUGGAUUACUUUGACAUGCUUAUAGCAUAGUGUUGAGACAUGUAGUAUACUUGAUAAUU
rnacentral:lncRNA from 1 species